AAAAAAAAUAGAUAAAUGCUCAUUCA
rnacentral:siRNA from 1 species